GAGAUAGUUCUUAGUUUUUCCAUACGAUAAACAGCUAUGCGAAUACAAGGAUGUAUUCGCAAACGAAGCCGCGACAGGACGUCGCGUCUGAGUGGUAGCGUCCAAAAGCAGAACAUAGCCGGAAAAACUUAGAAAUAUCCGCU
rnacentral:ncRNA from 1 species